CACGUAGGCGGUUUGGUAAGUCAGUAGUGAAAGCCUGUGGCUCAACCGCAGGACUGCUAUCGAUACUGCCAGACUAGAGUACAGAAGAGGAGAGUGGAAUUCCACAAGUAGCGGUGAAAUGCGUAGAUAUGUGGAGGAACACCAGUGGCGAAGGCGACUCUCUGGUCUGAUACUGACGCUGAGGUGCGAAAGCUAGGGGAGCGAACAGGAUUAGAUACCCUGGUAGUCC
rnacentral:rRNA from 1 species